rnacentral:rRNA from 1 species
CUCACUGGAGGCCCGAACCAGGGCACGUUGAAAAGUGCUUGGAUGACUUGUGGGUAGCGGAGAAAUUCCAAACGAACUUGGAGAUAGCUGGUUCUCUCCGAAAUAGCUUUAGGGCUAGCGUCGAUGUUAAGUCUCUUGGAGGUAGAGCACUGUUUGAUUGAGGGGUCCAUCCCGGAUUACCAAUAUCAGAUAAACUCCGAAUGCCAAUGAGAUAUAAUCGGCAGUCAGACUGCGAGUGCUAAGAUCCGUAGUCGAAAGGGAAACAGCCCAGACCACCAGCUAAGGUCCCAAAAUAUAUGUUAAGUGGAAAAGGAUGUGGGGUUGCACAGACAACUAGGAUGUUAGCUUAGAAGCAGCUAUUCAUUCAAAGAGUGCGUAAUAGCUCACUAGUCGAGUGACCCUGCGCCGAAAAUGUACCGGGGCUAAAACAUAUUACCGAAGCUGUGGAUACCUUUUAGGUAUGGUAGGAGAGCGUUCUAUGUGUGAAGAAGGUGUACCGUGAGGAGCGCUGGAACGCAUAGAAGUGAGAAUGCCGGUAUGAGUAGCGAAAGACAGGUGAGAAUCCUGUCCACCGUAAGACUAAGGUUUCCAGGGGAAGGCUCGUCCGCCCUGGGUUAGUCGGGACCUAAGGAGAGACCGAAAGGUGUAUCCGAUGGCCAACAGGUUGAUAUUCCUGUACUAGAGUAUAUAGUGAAGGAGGGACGCAGUAGGCUAACUAAAGCGUGCGAUUGGAAGAGCACGUCUAAGCAGUGAGGUGUGAUAUGAGUCAAAUGCUUAUAUCUAUAACAUUGAGCUGUGAUGGGGAGCGAAGUUAAGUAGCGAAGUUAGUGAUGUCACACUGCCAAGAAAAGCUUCUAGCGUUAAUUAUACUCUACCCGUACCGCAAACCGACACAGGUAGUCGAGGCGAGUAGCCUCAGGUGAGCGAGAGAACUCUCGUUAAGGAACUCGGCAAAAUGGCCCCGUAACUUCGGGAGAAGGGGCGCUGGCUUAGAGUCAGCCGCAGUGAAUAGGCCCAAGCAACUGUUUAUCAAAAACACAGCUCUCUGCUAAAUCGUAAGAUGAUGUAUAGGGGGUGACGCCUGCCCGGUGCUGGAAGGUUAAGAGGAGCGCUUAGCGUUAGCGAAGGUGUGAAUUGAAGCCCCAGUAAACGGCGGCCGUAACUAUAACGGUCCUAAGGUAGCGAAAUUCCUUGUCGGGUAAGUUCCGACCCGCACGAAAGGCGUAAUGAUUUGGGCACUGUCUCAACGAGAGACUCGGUGAAAUUUUAGUACCUGUGAAGAUGCAGGUUACCCGCGACAGGACGGAAAGACCCCAUGGAGCUUUACUGCAGUUUGAUAUUGAGUAUCUGUACCACAUGUACAGGAUAGGUAGGAGCCUACGAAAUCGGGACGCUAGUUUCGGUGGAGGCGUUGUUGGGAUACUACCCUUGUGUUAUGGCUACUCUAACCUAGAUAGGUAAUCCCUAUCGGAGACAGUGUCUGACGGGCAGUUUGACUGGGGCGGUCGCCUCCUAAAAGGUAACGGAGGCGCCCAAAGGUUCCCUCAGAAUGGUUGGAAAUCAUUCGCAGAGUGUAAAGGUAUAAGGGAGCUUGACUGCGAGAGCUACAACUCGAGCAGGGACGAAAGUCGGGCUUAGUGAUCCGGUGGUUCCGCAUGGAAGGGCCAUCGCUCAACGGAUAAAAGCUACCCUGGGGAUAACAGGCUUAUCUCCCCCAAGAGUUCACAUCGACGGGGAGGUUUGGCACCUCGAUGUCGGCUCGUCGCAUCCUGGGGCUGUAGUCGGUCCCAAGGGUUGGGCUGUUCGCCCAUUAAAGCGGCACGCGAGCUGGGUUCAGAACGUCGUGAGACAGUUCGGUCCCUAUCCGUCGCGGGCGUAGGAAAUUUGAGAGGAUCUGCUCCUAGUACGAGAGGACCAGAGUGGACUUACCGCUGGUGUACCAGUUGUCUUGCCAAAGGCAUCGCUGGGUAGCUAUGUAGGGAAGGGAUAAACGCUGAAAGCAUCUAAGUGUGAAGCCCACCUCAAGAUGAGAUUUCCCAUGAUUUAAUAUCAGUAAGAGCCCUGAGAGAUGAUCAGGUAGAUAGGUUAGGAGUGGAAGUGUGGUGACACAUGUAGCGGACUAAUACUAAUAGCUCGAGGACUUAUCCAAA